CUACAACCCUUAGAGCAAUGGGAACUUCACUUUGCUGACAUCACAAUUCAGUGAUCCCAACGGAUCACUGUUAUGCAAUGCUGCAUCAAACACUCAGUAAACUUCCCAAGAAACUACACCAUAAUUUAGGGGAGCCAUUGAGGUUGUUUGUGAGAAGAGCAAAAUUAUUGUUCUCUUUGUCUGCUGCAGAAAACAAAUAGGAAAGAGCCUGAAAAAAACAUCUACAUAUUCAAAGGUUUUUAUUGAGUUGGGGGCACCUCAUGUAAAGCAAUUCCCAUCCCUGAGGUUCUGCAAGACACACUGCAACUGAAGAAAAAUGAUGCUGAUGUUAGUAGGUCUUGGAAGGGUGGAAAACUGACGGGUCUGACUGAGUGGCAGAACAAGCUCAUGAACUCUGCGUUUAUGAAUGUGUAACUCAUUCUGCAAUGGAUUCCUUAAACUGUAGUGUGGGAAUCUUUCUAAGAUAACACAGAAUUAAUUCAGAACUUUCCCUCUCCUUUUUGAGGGUGAGGCAUCUUCUGGACUACUUUGUAGUUUACUGCUUCCAUCUUAUAAUUCAGUACUGGCCACCAGUCAAGAUUACUGCUCAAUUUCUCACUAUAAAUGGAUUUCAGCCACUGAGCCAUGUGCUUUUCUCCAGCUCAAUCAAAUGUGGGCACGUGGUACGUGGGGAAUUGCCAUCAACUGAUAUCAAAGUACUUUGGCUACCAAACCACCCAAGCACUAUAGUACCUUACUUAGUCCAUAGAAUUCAGACUUAAGAGGAUUUGUUAGUAUCCUUUAAAGUUUUGAGUGUGUAUAUGUUUUUAACCAUGACAGGAAAUUCAGUGGAAAAGAGAAAAUCAGCAGAAACAUUAUUUAGAGAAGGGAAGAAAUGCUUCCUUUGAAAUUUAGAAGCAGGGUGGCUAUUCCUGCUCUUCUCCCUUAUUGAAACCACUUUAAUUCCAAAUUCCCAAUCUCCUGUCACCUGUCAGGAAACACACACAUUUCUCAGCAGAUGACAGAAGAAUGAUUUAUGUUUUCUUCUUUCAGUAUAAUUUGCAUUUUGAGUGAAUCAAUCAGAUAGUUUCUAUUAUACAAGGAACAUAAAAUAAUAAAAAUGCUCAGUUUCUCAAUUUUGAACAGAAUUAGGAGGGGGCAUUUGAAAGACUGAGUCAAAAGGAUUCUGAGCAGAAUUUCUUCAUACAAAUAUUCCCUUUGAACUGUAUAUUUUCAGUGGCGAGGGAAUAUUUUCCUUCUUCAGGUAUAAGACAGUGUAGGAGUAGGCAAAGGAAAGAGAGCUUUCAAAUGAGAAUAAUUUCAGUGAGUCACCACUUUUGUAAGAGGUACAGUAAAUCCUACUCUUUUUCAGAGACUUUAGAAAAGCAUUUGGGCAUUUUAGCUCCAUUUAUCUGCUUGUCGGAUCCAAGAAGAGAUGAGAAGUGGAGGGGAAAAAAAACUGAUGGACUUUCAGAGCAUUUUCACACCACCCAGUCUUGUACAGCUCACAAUACUUAGGGCACUCUUUACUAUGUACUUUUACUAUUUAUUUCUCUAGUGCCAGAUAGUAAAGCUCAGUCAUCUUCCUAGCUGACUACCUAGCAAGGUGGAAAAGAGUAAAAGUCCAUACAGGCAGUGACAGAUCCAAGCUGAAUAGGUGGAGAAAGUGUGAUGUUUUCAACAGUUUAAUUUAAGCUUCUAGCACAUCUGAAAGCUCAGGUGAAAUGUUAGGAUCAUUUUCCGAAACCCCUUUUGUCCUACACCCUCGGCCCAAUCAGCCAUGCUGAGCAGAUCAUAAAUCCCCUGUCAGUCUGCGCCAGCCCCUGAGCACUGAGCUCUGAGCAAUGGAUUUGCAUAUCCACCUAUAAAUCCUGUAAAAGACAGGAAAAUAGUUGGUUAUCCACACUUUCCAAGGCCUGUUAAUUACUUGAUUUCUCUCCUGGUUUGCCCUCCCAGGCUGAGAACAGCAUCAUCCUCAUAUAACUUAGAGCUGGCACUUAUUAAGUGUUUAACUGACCAAAUCAGGUUCAGGAAAGACAAAUAGGCAAUCAAAAAAUAAACAAUGCAACUUCAAGUGACCAAAUCAAAUUAAAUUUUAUCUUGAUCUGUCUACAGUACCCACAGACUAAGUCCAAGUUCUUCCUCUACCUUGGAAUCUCUUAUGCUUGUUACAAAUAUACAUAUAUAUAGGCUGUAAUUCAUGUUUGCACAGCUGACAUUUUUCCCUGAGACUUUUUGAAGUUCUAUUUAGCCCAAAGACACUGACACCUUUUGUAUCUUAGACACAGAUGUUAGAUAUCCUAACUUCUCCCAAAGGAAGAGGGGACUUGCUAAAAAAUAGA